AGCGAACGCUGGCGGCAGGCUUAACACAUGCAAGUCGAACGGGCGUAGCAAUACGUCAGUGGCAGACGGGUGAGUAACGCGUGGGAACGUACCUUUUGGUUCGGAACAACCCAGGGAAACUUGGGCUAAUACCGGAUAAGCCCUUACGGGGAAAGAUUUAUCGCCGAAAGAUCGGCCCGCGUCUGAUUAGCUAGUUGGUGUGGUAACGGCGCACCAAGGCGACGAUCAGUAGCUGGUCUGAGAGGAUGAUCAGCCACAUUGGGACUGAGACACGGCCCAAACUCCUACGGGAGGCAGCAGUGGGGAAUAUUGGACAAUGGGCGCAAGCCUGAUCCAGCCAUGCCGCGUGAGUGAUGAAGGCCCUAGGGUUGUAAAGCUCUUUUGUGCGGGAAGAUAAUGACGGUACCGCAAGAAUAACGCCCCGGCUAACUUCGUGCCAGCAGCAGCCGCUGUAAC
rnacentral:rRNA from 1 species